CCUACGGGGGGCUGCAGUGGGGAAUAUUGGACAAUGGGCGCAAGCCUGAUCCAGCAAUGCCGCGUGUGUGAAGAAGGCCUGCGGGUUGUAAAGCACUUUAAGCCGGAAAGAAGGCUGCAAGGCUAAUAUCCUUGUAGAUUGACGUUACCGGCAGAAUAAGCACCGGCUAACUCCGUGCCAGCAGCCGCGGUAAUACGGAGGGGACGAGCGUUAAUCGGAAUGACUGGGCGUAGUUCGUGCGUACGGGUUUGAAAGCCCUGGGCUUAACCUGGGAACUGCAGUGGAAACUGGCGGGCUAGAGUAUGGUAGAGGAGGGUGGAAUUUCCGGUGUAGCAGUGAAAUGCGUAGAGAUCGGAAGGAACACCAGUGGCGAAGGCGGCUCUCUGGACCAAUACUGACGCUGAGGUGCGAAAGCGUGGGGAGCAAACAGGAUUAGAUACCCGGGUAGUC
rnacentral:rRNA from 1 species